UCCCUCAGUGCUGGGGGGUGCCGGGGGAGGAUGGUCCCCGAGGGGGUCGCUGGGUGUUGGGGGUGUCCUGAGGGGACGGGCCCUGAGGGGGUCCCUGGGUGCCGGGCAGGCCCUGAGGGGGGUCCCCGUGGUGCUGGGGGGGGAGGGUCUUUGGGUGCUCGGGGGGCUGUCAGGGUGGGGAGGGUCCCAGGGAACCGCGGCUGUGUGGGGGGGAUGUUCCGGUGCCCCUCUUGUAGUGGGACCAGGAGCAGGUGCAGGGCCCGGGGGCUGCUCGGGGCGCGUUGGGCUGGGGGGGUCGGAGGGGUCCGGGGGCUCCGCGAGGCCGUGCAGGGGAGCCCCGGGGUGCCGGGUCCCGGCCACGCUCACUCACCGGCUGCUCUCCUCUCUCCGCAGUGGCGCAAGAAGCGAAUGCGCAGGCUGAAGCGCAAGAGGAGGAAGAUGCGGCAGAGGUCCAAGUAGGCGCCGCGCCCGGCCCCGGAGCCCCGGAGCGGAGGAGCCGCGGGGGAGCUGCACGGGGAGCUGGCGGCGGGGCCGCGUGGGGACCGGGGCUGCGCUGUGUAACGGCCCCGGGGCCGCCAAUAAAGCUUGGAUGUGUUCGUUGGACGCGGGCUGCUGCUGCUGCUGGGGGCGAGGGGGGCGGGGGGGGGGCGCCGGUAGGGACCGGGGGGCACCGGGGGCAGGGACCGGGCACCGGAUCCCGGGUGCUGGGGCC
rnacentral:lncRNA from 1 species